AUGGCCUCCAAUAGGGCCCCUGGACCUGAUAAUAUCCCGGUAGAAUUCUACCAAGUGUGUUGGGAUAUUGUCAAAAACGAUAUCAUGGCCUUGUUUAGACACUUUCAUCAAGGGACGUUGGAUGUUCAGCGGUUGAACUAUGGGAUCAUCACGCUACUUCCGAAGAUCUCGGGGGCUGACAAAAUCCAACAGUUCAGACCCAUUUGCUUGCUUAGAUGCCCCUAUAAGCUUAUCACAAAAGUCCUAGAUCGCCGAGUCUCGGUGUAUGCUGACAAGCUAAUUAGUCCUGUUCAAAAUGCCUUUGUCAAAGGGAGGAGCAUUAUGGAUGGUGUUCUCUCACUUCAUGAAAUCCUUAAUUACACUCACAUGAAAAAGAGGGUUGGCAUGGUGUUGAAACUGGAUUUCGAGAAAGCUUAUGAUAAGGUUAACUGGGAUUUCUUGUUAGAAUGUCAUAAACUGCGGGGAUUCAAUGAAACCUGGUGCGGGUGGAUUAACCAGAUUCUUUGGAAUGGCACGGUUAGCAUUAAAUUGAAUAACUGUGUGGGGCCGUACUUCCAAAGUGCUAAAGGGGUACGACAAGGCGACCCUCACUCUCCAUUCCUGUUUAACUUAGCUGCCGAAUGCCUCACGAAAAUGAUCAAAAAUGCCCAACGUAAUAAGCUGCUGGUUGGUUUAGCUGCGGAUCUGAUCCCCGAUGGAGUUGCGAUUCUCCAAUACGCAGAUGACACAGUUAUCUGUCUCGAACAUGACAUCGACAGAGCAGUCAACCUGAAGUUGCUGCUGUAUAUGUUUGAAAUGAUGUCUGGGUUGAAAGUCAACUUUCAGAAAAGUGAGAUUUUGACUGUGGGGGGAGAUGAUGGUGUGAUUAAGCAAUAUGUCGACCUCUUCAAUUGUGAUAUAGGUAGCUUCCCCAUCAAAUACCUGGGCAUGCCCGUUAGUUAUACCACCUUGAGAAACUCUGAUUGGGAGUUCAUUGUCUGCAAAUAUCUAAAGAGAUUUGAAGCUUGGGUGGGCAAUGCUGCCUCCAUGGGAGGGAGACAUACUUUAUUAGACUCUGUUGUCACCCAGUUAUCGCUGUAUCAUAUGUCUAUGUGGUUGAUGAACAAGACGUUCAUUGAAAAAUUGGAUAAGCAUAGAAGAAGAUUCUUCUGGCAAGGGUGUAACAAGAAGAAAAGAUAUUACCUUGUGAAAUGGAGUAGAAUCUGCAGAUCUAAACAGAAGGGCGGUCUAGGGAUUAAAGAUCUGCGCAAACAGAAUAUCAGUCUGAUGGUAAAAUGGUGGUGGAAGCUAGAAACACAAAGUGGGGUGUGGCAAGACAUCGUUCGUGCUCGCUAUUUGCGGAAUAGGACAGUAGCUGAUGUUGGCCCAAGAUUUUCUGACUCUCCUUGUUGGAAAGCCCUGCUGAAAGUCAAGGAAAUUUAUAUGGCUGGUAGGAAGAUUAAUAUUGAAUCUGGGAACAUUGCUAGGGUGUGGAGUGAUCCUAUUAACGGACUGCUUCCGUUCAAGGAUCAAUACCCUCAGCUAUUUGACAUUUGCAAUAUUCCUGGAUGUACUAUCAAACAAGUGUUCGCUGUGGAAACUGGUUCCUUUUUCAGACGAAGGCUCACUCCUGCUCUACAUGAA
rnacentral:rRNA from 1 species